rfam:Rattus norvegicus chromosome 5, whole genome shotgun sequence.
GGGGAUUUAGCUCAAUGGUAGAGCGCUUGCCUAGGAAGCGCAAGGCCCUGGGUUCAGUCCCCA